rnacentral:misc_RNA from 1 species
ACGGUGAUAGCAAGGAAGAAGAGAGUGGUGUCCGUACCGAUCGGUGACGUGGAAGGAUCUAAGAGCAAAGGGGAAGCAUAUCCACCGUCCGAUCCAUGGGCAUGGAGGAAAUACGGCCAAAAGCCAAUCAAAGGCUCUCCUUAUCCCAGGGGAUAUUAUCGAUGUAGUAGCUCCAAGGGCUGCCCAGCAAGAAAGCAAGUAGAAAGAAGCCGUGUGGACCCCACCAAGCUCGUUAUUACCUACGCUUUCGACCACAAUCACCAACUCCCGGCCACCAAAUCUCACCACCACCACCACAAUUCCUCCCCAUCCUCCGCCGCGAUCGCCGCCG